CCACCGCAGCAUCGAAGACUGCAGAUGAUGAAGAGCAGCGGCUCGGUUCCGAGCGGAAGCAGACAAACUCUGCUGGAAACGCAGAACCUUCCGAACGGUACUCACCACGGUUACCGGGGAAACCAUUUCUCCCGCGGUGCCACACAGACAGGGGGGGCGGAGACAACACAGAACUCUGACGUCGACAAGUCUUCAGGUCCAACCAAUGGGAACACCGAGAGCUCAGUGGAAGGCGGGGCUAAGACUCCGGCGCAGCGGCGAUUGGAGGAUUCGGGGGGCUCUUUACAUAUCGAAGCAGAUGGUCUUUAUUUACAUUGUCUGAAUCCAGCGGUGGAGAGAUGACCGGAAGUCACGGAUCCAGCGAUCAGAUCGGAUUUUAGGGAAUGACGAGUUGUUAAAGAUCAGAUGCUGAUUUCCGAAAAGGUUUAAAACACAGAGGACCAAAUAAUGCGGACCAAUCAGGAAACGCGGCCUGCCGACGUUAUCACGAGCCAUCCAGGCUCCUUCUGAGAACCCAGUUACAUAACACGAGACAAAUGCAAAUCUGAACAAUUCUUGAUCACCUAUAAAGUAAAAGAGGUGUCUUUCAGGAUCUUUUCUUUCAAAUAAGAUUUAGAUUGAACAUUGAUACACUUUAUAUAUAUAUAUUUUUUAUUAACAGUUCGUCCUCAAGUUAAAGUGUUCUGGCAGAAAUUUGUGAUUUAAUUCAUGACAAAAUCAAAGCUUGUUUUGUUUUGGAAGGACGUCUUGUUGGGUCACAUAAUCAGAGAAUAUGCAAAAUGAUUCUGGUCUAUUCUUAAUAAAUCUCUUGUUCAUUUUGGCCAAAUAUAUUCACAAAACUGUAAAUUCUCUGGACGAAAACUUUGUUUUAUUGUAUUUUUUCCUGAUUUUAAUUUGUAUAUUAAUAGUAUCUGAAAAUGUGAAAAACAAAAAGCAAUAAAAAUGUUGUCUGUAUGUGAAAGAUUCAAUAUUUUGACGUGAAAACGAAUCCCCUGGCUUACUUUUAUCCUUUGGGGUUUUUUCUUACUGAAAUAUUCCAUUUAUUGCACAG
rnacentral:lncRNA from 1 species